GCAUUAAUGGGGUAGUGGUAACCUGGGUCGUUGCCACCGAACGGCGCGCAGCGUCGACCCGCCGGGGGUUCGAUUCCCUCUUAAUGCA
rnacentral:tRNA from 1 species